GUGUCAGCAGCCGCGGUAAUACGUAGGUCCCGAGCGUUGUCCGGAUUUAUUGGGCGUAAAGCGAGCGCAGGUGGUUUAAUAAGUCUGAUGUAAAAGGCAGUGGCUCAACCAUUGUGUGCAUUGGAAACUGUUAGACUUGAGUGCAGUAGAGGAGAGUGGAAUUCCAUGUGUAGCGGUGAAAUGCGUAGAUAUAUGGAGGAACACCGGUGGCGAAAGCGGCUCUCUGGACUGUAACUGACACUGAGGCUCGAAAGCGUGGGUAGCAAACAGGAUUAGAUACCCUGGUAGUCCACGCCGUAAACGAUGAGUGCUAGUUGUUUGGGGCUAUCCAGCCCUAAGUGACGCAGCAAACGCAUUAAGCACUCCGCCUGGGGAGUACGACCGCAAGGUUGAA
rnacentral:rRNA from 1 species